rnacentral:rRNA from 1 species
AUUGAACGCUGGCGGCAGGCCUAACACAUGCAAGUCGAGCGAGCGGCGGACGGGUGAGUAUUGUCUGGGAAACUGCCCGAUGGAGGGGGAUAACUACUGGAAACGGUAGCUAUUACCGCAUACCAUCAGAUGUGCCCAGAUGGGAUUAGCUAGUAGGUGGGGUAACGGCUCACCCCGGCGACGAUACCUAGCUGGUCUGAGAGGAUGAACAGCCACACUGGAACUGAGACACGGUCCAGACUCCUACGGGAGGCAGCAGUGGGGAAUAUUGCACAAUGGGCGAAAGCCUGAUGCAGCCAUGCCGCGUGUGUGAAGAAGGCCUUCGGGUUGUAAAGCACUUUCAGCGGGGAGGCGUUACCCGCAGAAGAAGCACCGGCUAACUCCGUGCCAGCAGCCGCGGUAAUUC